rnacentral:rRNA from 1 species
AACGAACGCUGGCGGCAUGCCUAACACACGCAAGUCGAACGAGAUCUUCGGGUCUAGUGGCGCACGGGUGCGUAACGCGUGGGAAUCUGCCCUUUGGUUCGGAAUAACAGUUGGAAACGACUGCUAAUACCGGAUGAUGACGAAAGUCUAAAGAUUUAUCGCCAGAGGAUGAGCCCGCGUAGGAUUAGCUAGUUGGUGUGGUAAAGGCGCACCAAGGCGACGAUCCUUAGCUGGUCUGAGAGGAUGAUCAGCCACACUGGGACUGAGACACGGCCCAGACUCCUAGGGGAGGCAGCAGUGGGGAAUAUUGGACAAUGGGCGAAAGCCUGAUCCAACAAUGCCGCGUGAGUGAUGAGGGCCUUAGGGUUGUAAAGCUCUUUUACCCGGGAUGAUAAUGACAGUACCGGGAGAAUAAGCCCCGGCUAACCCCGUGCCAGCCGCCGCGGUAA